rnacentral:pre_miRNA from 1 species
GAGGGACAUUGAAGACAAACAGACAAGACAGUCUUUCGACUUUCAACAAAGACGUUUUGUUGAAAGUCGAAAGACUGUCUUGUCUGUUUGUCUUCAAUGCCCAUC